AAACGACUUGCGGGAGAGGUCGGCGUAGGGCGCCGGCGCCGAAGGAGCAACCGCCCCGGAAACUCUCAGGCAAAAGGACCGCCGGUCGAGC
rnacentral:ncRNA from 2 species